rnacentral:rRNA from 1 species
CCUACGGGUGGCAGCAGUGAGGCAUAUUGGUCAAUGGGCGCGAGCCUGAACCAGCCAAGUCGCGUGAGGGAAUACGGUCCUAUGGAUUGUCAACCUCUUUUGUCGGGGAGCAAAAGACGCCACGUGUGGCGUUCCGAGAGUACCCGAAGAAAAAGCAUCGGCUAACUCCGUGCCCGCAGCCCCGGUUAUACGGAGGAUGCGAGCGGUAUACGGAUUUAUUGGGUUUAAAGGGUGCGCAGGCGGGAGAUUAAGUCAGCGGUAAAAUUGAGAGGCUCAACCUCUUCGGGCCGUUGAAACUGGUUUUAUUGAGUGAGCGAGAAGUAUGCGGAAUGCGUGGUGUAGCGGUGAAAUGCAUAGAUAUCACGCAGAACCCCGAUUGCGAAGGCAGCAUACCGGUGCUCAACUGACGCUGAGGCACGAAAGUGUGGGUAUCGAACAGGAUUAGAUACCCUUGUAGUC